rnacentral:lncRNA from 1 species
AGAGUAACCAUAGGCUGGCCUGAGAGUGACCACUGAGUGACCACUGAGUGACCACGUGCUGGCCUGAGAAUGACCAUGGAGUGACCGCUGACCACUGAGUGACCAGCCAGGAAUGGCCACUGACCAACUGACCACAUGGGAGUGACCAACUGACCAUCCAGAAAUGAAUGGAGUGGACACAGAGUGGACACAGAGUGGACACAGAGUGGACAUUAAAAUGGACACUGACCACACCAGGGGUCACCUGUUCCAAUUUUUGGGACCCCAGCCCCAAAUUUUGGGGUUCUGGACCCGAUUUUGUUACCCCGGCCCCAAAUUUGGGGUCCUUAACCCAAAUUUUGGGGUUCUGAACCCAAAUUUUGGGGUUCUGGACUCAGAUUUUGGGGUCCCAAACCCAAAUUUUAGAGUCCUAAACCGAAAUUUUGGGACCCCGACCCCAAAUGUUAAGACCCCACCCCAUUUUCAUCUCCCCUGACCCCAAAUUUUUUUAUUCUGACCCCAAAUUUUGGGACCCCAGCCCCAAAUUUCGGGGUCCUCGCCCCCAAUUUUGAGACCGCAACCCCAAAUUUUGUAAUUCUGACCCCAAAUUUUGAGACCCCGACCCCAUUUUUGGGACCCCAGCCCCAAAUUUUAGGACCCCAAUCCCAAAUUUUGGGAUUCUGACCCCAAAUUUCGGGACCUUGACCCCAAAUUUUGGGACCCCAGCUCCAUUUUCACCCCUCCAACCCCAAAUUUUGGGACCCCAACCCCAAAUUUUGUGAUUCUGACCCCAAAUUUUAGGACCCCAAUCCCAAAUUUUGGGGUUCUGAUCCCAAAUUUUGGGACCCCAGCCCCAUUUCUGGGACCCCGACCCCAAAUUUUGAAGUUCUGACCCCAAAUUUUUGGACCCCAACCCCAUUUUUGGGACCCCAGCCCCAUUUUUAGGCUUCUGAACCCAAAUUUUGGGACCCCGACCCCAAAUUUUCUCAUUCUGACCCCAAAUUUUGGGACCCCAGCCCCAAAUUUUGUGAUUCCGACCCCAAAUUUUGAGGUUCUGGACCCAAAUUUUGGGACCUUGACCCCAAAUUUCGGGGUCCUAGCCCUAAAUUUUGUGAUUCCGACCCCAAAUUUCGGGACCCCAGCCCCAUUUUUUGUACCCCGACCCCAAAUUUUGCGAUUCCGACCCCAAAUUUUUUGGAUUCCCCCCCCCCAAUAAA